rnacentral:misc_RNA from 1 species
AAUUUAGGGAGGGCAGAUCCCUCUCCUAAAAGACCAAACUAGAAAUAGAUUGUCAUAACACAACAAAGUUCAUUGAUCUUACAUGAAAUCCUAUCGAGCAAAAUAAACAAACAUAUAUUCAAAGUGGGGUUGGGAGGGAAGGGGGUUAGCCGGUAGCGCCCAUCUAUAGGAAAAGGGAGACUUGCAGCACUGUAGAUUACAGAAUGAGAUAGCAAGCUGGUCAUCAGAUGAAAUUUAUCAAUAAUCAAUUUUAAUUAUACCUUGCAGCACUGUAGAUUAGAGAAUGAGAUAGCCCAAGGCCUUGCUCCUUAGCAAACUUAACCUUCUCUCUAAUAGAUUUGUUUCCAUCAUACCUUGUCCAGUUAUUUUCUCCAUGUGAGUGAGUUGAUACCAUG